GUACUCACUUCGGCGGUGCUUAUACUACAAUUGGAACGAUACAGAGAAGAUUAGCACGGCGCCUGCGCAAGGAUGACACGCAAAAUCGAGAAGCCUUCCACAUUUAU